UCGGGCAUGGUGUAUGGUACACGGCUUCCCAACAUAUGGUGAUGGGCAAAAUUGUUGGAAGCAGACUGGGGUUCGACUCCCCGUGUCCGAA